GAUGAACGCUCGCUACAGGCUUAACACAUGCAAGUCGCAGGGUAACAUGAGGAAAGCUUGCUUUCCUUGAUGACGACUGGCGCACGGGUGAGUAACGCGUAUCCAACCUUCCCAUAACUACGGGAUAACCCGUUGAAAGACGGCCUAAUACCGUAUGAUAUCGUUUGCUGACAUCAAAUAACGAUUAAAGGUUUAGCGGUUAUGGAUGGGGAUGCGUCUGAUUAGCUUGUUGGCGGGGUAACGGCCCACCAAGGCGACGUUCAGUAGGGGUUCUGAGAGGAAGGCCCACCGGAUUUGAACUGAGGCCCGGUCCAAAAUGCUACGGGAGGCAGCGGUGUGUAAUAUUGGGCGAUGGGCGAGAGCCUGAACCAGCCAAGUGGCGUGCAAGACGACGGCCCUAUGGAUUGUAAACUGCUUUUAUGUGGGGAUAAAGUGCGUGACGUGUCAUGCAUUGCAGGUACCACAUGAAUAAGGACCGGCUAAUUCCGUG
rnacentral:rRNA from 1 species